rnacentral:rRNA from 1 species
AGAGUUUGAUCCUGGCUCAGGAUGAACGCUAGCUACAGGCUUAACACAUGCAAGUCGAGGGGAAACGACAUCGAAAGCUUGCUUUUGAUGGGCGUCGACCGGCGCACGGGUGAGUAACGCGUAUCCAACCUGCCCACCACUUGGGGAUAACCUUGCGAAAGUAAGACUAAUACCCAAUGACGUCUCUAGAAGACAUCUGAAAGAGAUUAAAGAUUUAUCGGUGAUGGAUGGGGAUGCGUCUGGAUUAGCUUGUUGGCGGGGUAACGGCCACCAAGGCGACGAUCAGUAGGGGUUCUGAGAGGAAGGUCCCCCACGAUUGGAACUGAGACACGGUCCAAACUCCUACGGAGCA